rnacentral:rRNA from 1 species
AAAGCCUGAGGGAGCAAUACCGCGUGAGGGAGAAGGCUCUUGGGUUGUAAACCUCUUUUUUCAGGGAAGAAAAAAAUGACGGUACCUGAGGAAUAAGCAUCGGCUAACUCCGUGCCAGCAGCCGCGGUAAUACGGAGGAUGCAAGCGUUAUCCGGAAUGAUUGGGCGUAAAGCGUCCGCAGGUGGCGAUGAAAGUCUGCUGUUAAAGAGUGAGGCUCAACCUCAUAAAAGCAGUGGAAACUACAUAGCUAGAGUACGUUCGGGGCAGAGGGAAUUCCUGGUGUAGCGGUGAAAUGCGUAGAGAUCAGGAAGAACACCGGUGGCGAAAGCGCUCUGCUAGGCCUGUACUGACACUGAGGGACGAAAGCUAGGGGAGCGAAUGGGAUUAGAUACCCCAGUAGUCCUAGCCGUAAACGAUGGAUACUAGGCGUGGCUUGUAUCGACCCGAGCCGUGCCGGAGCUAACGCGUUAAGUAUCCCGCCUGGGGAGUACGCACGCAAGUGUGAAACUCAAAGGAAUUGACGGGGGCCCGCACAAGCGGUGGAGUAUGUGGUUUAAUUCGAUGCAACGCGAAGAACCUUACCAAGACUUGACAUGUCGCGAAUUCCUCUGAAAGGAGGAAGUGCCUUAGGGAGCGCGAACACAGGUGGUGCAUGGCUGUCGUCAGCUCGUGUCGUGAGAUGUUGGGUUAAGUCCCGCAACGAGCGCAACCCUCGUUUUUAGUUGCCAGCAUUAAGUUGGGCACUCUAGAGAGACUGCCGGUGACAAACCGGAGGAAGGUGGGGAUGACGUCAAGUCAGCAUGCCCCUUACGUCUUGGGCUACACACGUACUACAAUGCUACGGACAAAGGGCAGCAAGCUAGUGAUAGCAAGCAAAUCUCAUAAACCGUAGCUCAGUUCAGAUCGCAGGCUGCAACUCGCCUGCGUGAAGUCGGAAUCGCUAGUAAUUGCAGGUCAGCAUACUGCAGUGAAUUCGUUCCCG